AGACCAGACCUGGAAAAUGAACCCAUAUUGACUGCAGACCUAUGGCUGUACACUGACGGGUGUUGUUACAGAGGAGAAGAAGGCAACAUAGCAGCAUACGCAGUAGUACAACAGACUGUGGAUGGAGCUCACACCACCCUGGAAUCAGGUAUAAUACCUCAGCCCGCAUCAGCCCAAUUGGCAGAGAUAAUUGGACUCACCCAAGCAUUAACACUGGCCAAAGGGAAAAAGGUCAACAUAUACACUGACUCAGCGUAUGCUCAUGGAGCAGUACACAUCGAUGGACCACAAUGGGUCAGACGAAACUUUACCACUACUGGAAAUCUACCAAUCAAGCACAAGACCCAGAUGGAGCGUCUGAUUGCUGCUGUAUCACUUCCUGAAAAAGUGGCCAUAAUGAAAUGCAAGGGCCAUCAGAUAUUGAACUCCAAGAUCAGCAAGGGAAAUGAUGCUGCAGACCAGGCAGCUAAGAAAGCAGGAGGAUACACUCCCAGACAAAUGGUUCUCCAAAUCAGUCCACCUAGGACUGAAUUGACUAACCAACACAUCAAAGAACUACAACAAGCAGCCGGACCAUAUGAACACUCAGUGUGGGGACAGAGGGGAGCGACGAAAGGUCCUGAUGAACUGUGGCGAUGCCAUGAUGGCAGACUAGUGGCCCCUGCAAACCUCUGUCCUGAACUAAUCAGAGAAGCACAUGGACCAACACACGAAGGGAAACUGAAGACUCUACAGAGAGUCUCCUACGUAUGGUGGCAUCCAUACAUGAAAGAAAUGACAGAUUUGUUCUGUGACAGUUGUGCCAUCUGUGGAAGUCACAAUCCAAAGAAACCUUACCAAACACCAAUGGGUCACUAUCCGGUACCCAAUGCCUGUUUCCAAGACAUCAGCAUAGAUUUUACAGACAUGGGAGCGGAUCAGGUGAAGGGAGGAAAGAGAUAUUUGCUAGUAAUGGUAGACAGAUUCUCUAAGUGGGUAGAGGCCAUUCCUACAGCAAAGGAGGAUGCGAAGUCAGUCAUUAAGUGGCUACAAACGGAACUUAUACCUAGGUAUGGGGUUCCUCGACAAAUCAGGUCCGACAAUGGGUCCCACUUCUCAAAUCAGCACCUUAGACAGGUGGAGGAGAGGUUUGGCAUUACACACAAGUUUGGCUCAGUGUAUAAGCCGCAGUCGCAGGGCCUUGUGGAACGCUGUAAUCAAAAUCUGAAAGCUAAGAUAGCUAAAGUGUGUGCAGGGACACAUCUUUCACCCCAUGAAAUAAUGACAGGUAGAGUAAUGCCAGGGCCACCAAGAGAGGGAGGUCAUAUGCCCCCUCUUGAUGUGCACCAAAUAGGGAUGUCUGACUAUGUGAAGAAAUUGACGGAAUUGUCUGCAGCUCUCUCCAAACAGAUACACCGUGUCGCAGAGAGGGAGCUGACUGACGUCCCGGAACAACCAAGGGUAAAAGUUGGGGACUGGGUAAGGAUCAAGGUCCACAAGAGAAAGUGGGCUGAUCCCAGGUGGACUGGACCGUACGAAGUGAAGGAGGUUACUUCACAC